GAGGUGAAUGUAACUGUACUGUAUCCCUAAAAUGUACCAAUAAACUCAAUAAAAUUAAAAAAAAAUGUGGCCUAGUAAAUAGGACCUACUCUAUAAUCAACUUUCUACCAAGAAGACAGACUGCAGGUGACCUGAUACAUGAACCAGAAAUAUGACAUCACAAAAAGAAACAAGUGUUUCCCUCCCAUAGAGGAGGGGGAAGACUCCAAGACCCUGCAUCCUGGUAGAGUGGGGCCCCAUGUUCUUUUCCAUUAUUUAUCUGAAGAGAUCACAACGUCUUCUGAAAAGCAAAAAUUGCUUCAAAGCCAGGAUGGAGAGACAAGUCUGCUGGGUUGCACACAGUUCUUCCCACAAAGGUUUGAGUCUGGCAGAUGUUUUCCUUUCCUCAUUUCUGCCCAAGGAGGAAAAUACUCAAUGGAGUGCACAGCACAAAACACAGAUUCCAAGGCUGGGACAGUUGGUAGCAAUUAUUUAUGUGGAAUAACUUUAAAAUUCCCUUUAUUAGAAUUUUCCAGAAUCAAUGAUGUGAUGACUCUCAAAAUAUAAUGUCAUAACAACCAAAUCUUACUGAGGGAAAAGGUCUUCACUACAAGUCUUGGGUUCUCUGUUAUAAUAUGUAUCAACUGAAUUAAAGAUAAUGAAAUAUAUUAUAAAAUGAAUCCUAAGACUUAGUUUUAUCUGGGGCUUAUAAAGUACCCCCUUUUUGAUCACACAUAGGCACAGCACACCUUCUUGUUUAUUUUAUCCCAUUUUCUUUUUAUGCAGAUGAUGGCUACAGUCAUAUUGGGUAAUGAUGGGAUCCUUAUCCAAUGUCCCAUAUCUACACUCAAAAUAAAGCACACCCUUUGUCUCUGUGUGCUAAUCUUGAAGCAUUUAUUUCUUAUAUCUUACAUAAUUAUUUUAACACACAUCAAUAUUUUCUCCAUUCCUUUAUGCUCUGAGUCGUUAUACCACUAAUAUGUCUGAUGGUGGCAGUAAGCUGGACCAGUUAGGUAUUUCUAUGGUUUGAAUGUUUCCACCAAAACUCAGGCUGAAAUUUCAUCCUCACUUUAAAGUAUUAAGAGGUGGGACCAAGUCAAAUCUUUAAGAGAGAUUAGAUUAUGAGUGCCUUGCUCUUAUGAAUGAAUUAAUUCAUUCAUGGAUUAAUGGGUUAUCUUGAUAAUAGAUCUGUUACAAAAGCUAGUUUGGUGAUCUUUCAUGUGCCAUCUCCUGCACUAUCUGGAACUCCAUCUCUAACAGCCCCUCCACCUUGGACCUUAGAUGCUUGGACCUUAGAGCUGAAUAACUUGUAUUUAUUAAUUACUUGAUCUGAGAUAUUUUAUUGUAGCAACAAAAAUGGACCAAGAUAAGCAUCAUGUAUUUUAAAUGUAAAAUAAAAUUCAUUUUUUUCCUACAAUGUGGUCUCCUUAGGACCAACCUAAAUUAAUCUGGGGCUGAAAAAUGGAGCAUUUCAUUCUAGAUCAUCUCAGAAGUUGACAGAUUAAUCUCUCUGUGGGCUUUUAAAUAAUGUUGAAUUCUUCACAGUAAAAAAUCAACUCCUCAUUUUUUAUAAUACAUGUGUCAAGAAUUAACACCUGAUUUAUUCAGGCUAUGUUUACAUAACCUUCUCUUUGGUUCAAAUGAAAAGAUUUCCAAGAUUCUCCAACAUCUGUGGGAAUGGACUGCAGGGAAUAAAGGCAAUCUAAAUCUGAUAGAAUUUGUAAAAC
rnacentral:lncRNA from 1 species